UGGGGAAUUUUGGACAAUGGGGGGAACCCUGAUCCAGCCAUGCCGCGUGUCUGAAGAAGGCCUUCGGGUUGUAAAGGACUUUUGUUCGGGAGCAAAAGCUGCGACUUAAUACGUUGUGGUGAUGAGAGUACCGAAAGAAUAAGCACCGGCUAACUACGUGCCAGCAGCCGCGGUAAUACGUAGGGUGCGAGCGUUAAUCAGAAUUACUGGGCGUAAAGCGUGCGCAGGCGGUUUAUUAAGUUUGAUGUGAAAUCCCCGGGCUUAACCUGGGAACUGCAUUGGAUACUGGUAGACUAGAGUGCGUCAGAGGGGGGUAGAAUUCCGCGUGUAGCAGUGAAAUGCGUAGAGAUGCGGAGGAAUACCGAUGGCGAAGGCAGCCCCCUGGGAUGACACUGACGCUCAUGUACGAAAGCGUGGGUAGCAAACAGG
rnacentral:rRNA from 1 species